GGGCCUGUGGUCUAGUUGGUUAGGACGCAACCCUCACACGGUUGAGAUCGGCGGUUCGAAUCCGCCCGGGCCCA
rnacentral:tRNA from 1 species